AACCUUGAGUAGAUACUUGUCUCUCCUUCUUUAACACACUAAGCUUUAAUUGCUUAGUCAUGAUGGGGCUACUUGGAGUAGCUCCAAGCAAUGCCUCAUCUUGGCUAUGGGAAUUGCCUUAGUGAAUGUUCAUUGCAUUAUCAUUCCCAACAACCUUUAUCAAAUUGAUUUCCUUUCUGUCCAAGACCUCCCUGAUGAAAUGGUGUUGCACAUCAAUGUGCUUGGUUCGCUCAUGAUGUGCUUGGUUUUUAAAUAGAUGUAUGGCACUCUGGCUCUCACACAUUAGUGUCGUUUCUAUAGAAGUCCCAAGUAAUUCCCCUAUCAGUCCUUUCAACCAUAAGGCUUCUUUUUUUGUGUCCGAAAUCGCUAUGUAUUCUGCCUUAGUGGUUGAUAAAGCUAUUACAUGUUGUAGACUUGCUUUCCAACUCACUGUUGAGUCCCAUAAUUUAAAAACAUAAUCGGUUGUGGACCUUCUUCUAUCUAGAUCGGCUACAUAGUCGGCAUCUGAAUAUCCUAUAAUACUUGAUGUACCUCCUUCCUUAGCUCCUCCAUAGACCAAAACUGUAUUAAUUGUUCUGUUUAGAUAUUUGAACACCCAUUUUACUGUACUCCUGUGUGGCUUUCCUGGGUUUGCCAUAAACGUACCGAUAACGAUCAUUGCAUGAGCUAGGUCAGGCUGAGUACAUACCAUAUUGUACAUCAGGCUGUCUACUGCACUUGAGUAGGGUAUAUUCCUCAUUUCUUCCAAACUUUCCUUGUCUGUAGGGGACUAAUCUAAUGACAACUUAAAUUGUUGAGCGAAUGAAACAUUUACAGCUUUUACCUCUACCAUUCCAAACUUUCUAGUUAGUUUUUCUAGAUAAGUUUUCUGAGAUAGGCAAAGCAUUCCCUACUUCUUAUUCUUGGUAAUUUCUAUACCCAAUAUUUUCCUGCCUCACCUAGCUCCUUCAUUUCAAAUGUUGAUUUUAGAUCCGGCUUUAGUUACUGUAUUUCUUUCCCUGAUUGGCUAGCAAUCAACAUGUCAUUAAGAUAUAAUAGGAGAUAGAUCGAAAUGCUAUUGGAUACAUGCUUAAAAUACACACAACAGUCAUAUGAGCUCUUAGCAAAUCCCUGACUAAACAUAAACGUAUCAAAUUUUUUAUACCAUUGACGUGGGGAUUGCUUGAGUCCAUAUAGGGAUUUUUUUUUUUUUUUUUUUAAGAAACAAACUUGUUCUACCUUUUCUUUUGAUUAGAAACCUUUUGGCUUCUCCAUAAGGAUUCUUUCGUCUAAUUCCCCAUGUAGAAAAGAUGUUGUAACAUCUAUUUGCUCCAAUUGGUUUAAUUUGGCUAUCAUAGCAAGUAGAACCCUGAUAGAGGUAUAUCUAACAACUAGUGAGAAUACCUCGUUGAAGUCCACUCCAGGGACUUGAGUGAAGCCUCUUGCCACCAACCUAGCCUUGUACCUAGGUUUGGCAUUGCCUCCAAUCCCUUCUUUUAUCUUGAAUAACCACUUACAUCCUACAAUUAUUUGUCCUUGAGGCCUAUCAAUCAGAGUCCAAGUUUGAUUCUUUCUUAAGGAAUCUAUUUUGGACUUCAUGGCUUCAAUCCACUUACUUGAAUUCUUAGAGUGAACAGCCUCUUCAUAAGUCAAAGGCUCAUCUCCAGUUACCUCUGAUGCACUUGUUAGUGCAUACGAUACCAGAUCUAAAAAUCCAUACCUUUUAGGUGGUUUGCUUUGUCUCAUUUGCCUAGGGCUGGCAAUAAGCUGAGCUGAGCCGAGCUAGGCCCAGCUCGAGCUCAGCUCGAUUGAUUAUAGCUUGGCUCAUAGCUCGGCUUGAGCUUGAUAUGAGCUGAUUUUUUUAGCUCGAGCUUGGCUCUAUGAUGACUACGAGCUGGCUCGGCUCGACUCAACUCGAAAUUGACUAUUACCUUACUUUUAUGUAUAUAUAUAUUUAAAUAAUAUAUGCAAUAUAUAUACUAUAUAUUUAAAUAAUAUAUUUAUAAAAUUAUUAAGUAUAUAUUUAUAUUAUUGAGUAUUAAGUAAUAAAUAUUUUUUUAUUUAAUAAAUUUAUAAAAUUAAUAUAUAUAUAUAUAUAAAUAUGUCGAGCUAGCUCGUGAGCCAAAUGAGUCAAGUUAAUGAUAGCUCAAGCUCGGCUCAUUUACUAAAUGAGCCAAAUAUUUGAGCUCAAACUUGGCUCUUUUGUAUCAUGAGCCAGCUUAUUGAGCCAAUUUUCGAGUCGAGUUUUGAGCCAGCUCACGAGUAGCUCGGUUCAUUGCCAGUCCUACCUUUGCCUGUCCCUUGCAACAUUAUAUCUUUGCAAAUCAAGUUGAUUUUUUGUAUUUGGCCCAUCCACUCUCUCCUCUCGAGGAUCAAAAUCCUGAUCAUCCCCUAUGUCCUCACUCCCUUCUUGCUGAUCAAAUUCCUGAUUAGGUGAAGUGCCAAAGUCAUAUUCUCAGACUCUACCUUGCCACUCAACAUCUACUAAUUUUUAUGUAGACAUUGGUUUUCCUUGAUCAUCUUCCUUAAGACCCUUAGCAGAUGAGUUCUCAUCAAAGGCAACAUCUUAGCUUACUAAUAUCCUUUGAUGUCUAGGUUUUAGGUUCCAAAGUUUAUACCCUUUUACUCCUUAUGGAUAACAAAUGAAAAUACAUUUCUUUGCCUGGGGUUCCAAUUUUCCUUAUUUUAUAUGCGCAUAUGCAAUACACCCAAAUACCCUCAAAUGCUCUAGGUUAGGUUUUUAUCCUGUCCACAUUUUGUAAGGAGUCUUAAAUGCAAUUGUUGCAGAUGGUAAUUUGUUUAUCAUGUGUGCAACAGUUGUCACGGCUUCCCCCCAGAAUGCCUUAGAUAGGUUUGCAUGAAAUAGCAUACACCUCACUCUUUUUAGAAGUGUUCUAUUAAUCUUUUUUGCCAUGCCAUUUUGUCUAGGGUUGCCUGGGGCAGUUAGGUGUCUAAUUAUCCUAUUUUCCUUGCAUAAUUCUGUGAAUUCCCUAUUGCAGAAUUCGAGACCAUUGUUUGUCCUGAUUGUCUUAAUGCUUCUUCCUUUCUGAUUUUCAAUCAUGGUUUUCCAUGUCUUGAAAGCCUAAAAUGUAUGAUCUUUUGACUUUAAGACAUAUAUCCAAACCAUUCUUGAGAAGUCAUCAAUAAUGGACAAAAAAUGCCUAGAUCCUCCAUGGGUUAGGGUCUGGGCAGGUCCCCAUAGGUCAUUGUGGAUAUAAUCUAAUGGAGCUUUAGAGGAGUGUAUUGCCUUUUUACUGAAUUUGACCUUAGUGGUUUUCCCAUAACUGCAAGACUCACACUUGUUAAGUCCUGCCACCUGAUCUUUUUUCAGAAUUCAUUGGUUUGACAAUUCCUUUAGCCCUAGUUCACUGAUGUGAUACAUCCUAAGAUGCCAUAAUCUUGAUUGUGUGAUAGCCUUUCCUCCUGCCACUGUAGCUUCUCCAUUGAAGGUAGUGCCUUGCAGCAUAUAUAUCCCAUUUUGCAAUAAGGCUUUCAUACAAACUAGAGACUCUUUAGAAACUUUUAGAACUCCACCCUCGCCCUUAAAAUUGUGACCUUGCUUAUCUAGUUCUCCGAGAGAAACCAAGUUUCUCCUUAACUUAGGGACAUGCCUCACAGAUUGUAGAGUCCUAUAAGUAUUAUUCUGUAUCUUUAGCCUUAUGUCUCCAACACCAAGCACCCUGCACUCAUGAUCAUUUUAUAGUAGUACUUUGCCUCUAUUUAUUUCCUGAUAGUUCAAGAACCAGUGCUUAUUUGGUGUCAUGUGAUAUGAACAUCCUGAGUCCAUAAUCCACACUUCACUUUUUGAUUUUUCUUACACAACUAAAGCGUUUGAACUAUCAUACCCAAAUUCAUAAAUUGAGGCUCCACCAUGAGUGUUAUUUCUUUCUUGAAAGUCCUUUUUCCUUUUAGGACAAUUCCUCUUAAUGUGUCCUUCAUGGCAAUAAUAACAUUUUACCACUUCUAGAUUUAGAUCUUGAUCUACCUCUCACCUUUGGUUCUCUUUUAUCCGACCUAAGUUUAUUGUGAGAGCAUCACCUGAUGAAUGUUUUCCCUCUACUUUGUACUACAAUUCUUUAGAUAUAAGUGCACCUAUCACAUCAUCAAGAAGAUACAACCCAUUUUGGACUUUAGUAGCUCCAAUCUUCUUCCUCGAUAUUCGGUUCUAAAAUACACAACAGUUAUCAACAAAGGUAAUAAUGCAGUCCAGAUCUUUGGUCAGUUUAGAAAUAGAGGUGAGAUUAGUAGUGAGUUUUAGUACAUGGAGGACAUUAGUUAAAUGAAGAGAAGGUGUUAAGGUGAUAUGGCCUUCACCAGCAACAGUAAGAGAAGAUCCAUUGGCAACUGUGAUUUUGUGAUGCCCUGAACUUGGUUUAUAGGUAAUAAAUGAAGUAGACUCAUGGGUCAUAUGAUCAGUAGCACCCGAAUCAAGUAUCCAGCAGUUAGGUGGAGAUGUUCCAAAAGCAUUAAAAAAAAGAUGAAAUAAGACACUUACCAUCUCGGGCAGAUGAACAAGAAUUAGAGGACUUGGAAAGUGUAUCAAGGGGACCUUUCAUUCGUUUAAUCUCUCCUUGAUAUUAGUUCUUGAUGAGGAAGUUUGCUCUGGCUGAGAGUUGUCUUGAUUAGUGAGAUUAGCCCGGCCAUUGAGAAUUCCUUUUAAAGCCUCCCAUUUGCUGAGUUCUUGUUCUUUUCCAUGAAGUUUUAAACAAUUUUCUUUUGUGUCUUGAUUUCUUGCAAUAGCUACACAAUAAACCAUCUUUGUUAGGGUUAGAUCUUGGUUUAGCCACAACUAGAAUGGUCUUGUUUACUGCCAUAGUAGAUCCAACAGGUGUUGGUGGAUCAAGCAUGGUAGAGCAUUGCAUCUCUUCUCCUCGAACAAUAGAGAAUACCUCUGCAACAGGAGGCACAAGAUCCUUUCCCAAAAUCUGCACUCUUACUUGGUCAUACUCUAGGUUAAGACCAGCAAGAAAAUCAAAGGUUCAAUUGCUCUCCACAAAUGUAGUGUGUGAUGUAGUAUCUUCAGGGUAGAUCAUUGUCACAUUCUGGUAAUGAUCGAUCUCAGACCAAAUAUCAGUAAGUGUGUUGUAAUAAUCAGGCACUGUCAUCCCUCCUUCCUUCAUAGCAGCAGCCUUGGUCCGAAGCUCAUAGUUAUCUGCUGCAUCUUGCUUCAUGGAAUAGCUUUUGCUGAGUGUCUCCCAAAUGUCAUGAGAUGAAGAUAGAAACAUGCAAUUUCUAUGUAUUUCUGAUAACAUGGAGUUCCAAAGCCAUGACAUAAUCAUGGCAUCUUCUUCAUCCCAUGCCCGAAACCUUGGAUUGGUAGAACUGGAACCCUUACCAGUUAGGUGAGACAGUUUUCCACACCCUUUUAGAUAGGUAGAGACUACUUGGGGCCAUUGGAGAUAAUUCUUUCCAUGAAGUUGAUAAGCUGGGAUGAAGAUCACUAUGACUAGGAGAGCUAGGUGUAUGUUCAGUAGGCUAAAGAUCACUCGAGAGAUUAGUGGGUUGAUCCCCUGAUGAAAGAUCAGAAGGAUUUGAGGUGUCUGCAUCAGAAACUGUAGACAAGGUAGUGGUAAUAUCGGCUAAAUAGACGCAACAAUGAAGAUUGAAAAAGGGAGAGAGUUGAGGGUAGCGGUUGAAUAGGAAUGAAGGCUAUAACAGCACACAAAAAACACUCCUAAAGAUGGUGGCGGGAAAAGAAUUAGGGUUCUAAGAAAGGAGGUUUUGAUACCAUGUAGAGAAAAAUGAAACAAUUUAAGAAAAUUGUUGAUAUUUGCUCGAUUGAUUCUCAAGUAGUAUAGGGUAUUUAUACACAACAACUAGUUUAUAUUCUAUAUUUUAGGAACAUAUUUGAAUAUGUUUUGAAGAUAAAAUACAAAAAGAAUUUAAAAAAAUGCUAAGAUAUCUUGAAUUAUUCUGCUGCCUUAUCUGUUGUUUUUAUCCCUUUAUUCUUGGAGGUUUUCAAUCUCCAAAUCACCUUAUCACUUUAUCCUUUCAUCUCCUAUUCUUCGGGCCAUAAGAUUAGGAGAACAAUCCAGCUAUUACUGGAGUCCUUCUUUGAGGAAACUGCUAUUUUAUUUCCACAAUAUCUUUGGGAAAAUUCCAACAUUUAUCAUUAGAUAAUGUUUAAUCAUGAAAAUUGAAAUAAUAUUUAAAGUAUUUUUAUAUCGAAACAGUAUGAACUAUAAAAGCAUUUUUGUCAAUAUCCUUUUUGGUAAUUUGAUUAUUAAAAACCAUUUUUUCAUUCAUUGGCCAAAUACAUAUAACAACAUUAAAAUCAUUUUCAAGUAAUUUGGCCAAAUGCUAAACUACUUUUUAUAAAAAUUGAUUCUUGUGAAAGCACUUCUCACAACAGAAAUUUCACAGCAAUACCAAACAGAGCCAAAAAAGGAAGGAAAGUCAUUGCCACCAAGAUUCUUGCUUGAAAGGGUUGGAUUUCUUCGGUUUUUGUCAUGACUAACAAAAAAAAUGAUUUGAUACCAUGCAAGGAAUGUUAAUUGGGUAUCUUUUUGAUGACUUGUGCUCAUGGUGCUAGGAAUCUAUUGAUUCAAGAGAUUCCAGUGAAACAAUUAGUUGGCAUUUGGGUAGUGAGAUUAUUAGAUCCCUUCCCAACUAUACUGAUCGAACCAAUACUACAAGCCUCAAAACCCAUAAUAAUUUCCUUUCUUUAAGGUAAAUAAAUUUAAUUAACUGUAGAAUCUAAAUAUUUUCAAUGAUAUUUGUCUUUCUAGCAAUUACAUUUUUUUUAGUUCACAUAAUCUCAUAAUAUCAUACUUUAUUUUCUUGAAUUGUAUUGAAGCUAUUGAUGGUACCUAUGUGAAAGUUAGAUUGCCAUGAAGACAAGAUAUACCUUUAAGAGGACGGAAAAGAUAUGCAAUUUGCAUUGAUAGAUAUAAAAUAUAUGUUUUACAUUUGCAUCGGUUGGAUGGAAGGGAGCUUCCCAAGUUCCAACUAUAGUCCAAUCCUUGGUGACGCCAUUCAUAGACUGGAAUUGAAUUUUCCCCUUCCAAAAGGAGAAAAAUAUUACCUAGAUAAUGUAGGUUAUUCUCAUAUAAUUGAAUUCAUGGGUCUGUAUAAAGGUAUGAGUAGAAGAUUUCAUUAUACUAGAACACCAUAAUUGCACACACCUUGAGGACUAAAGAUCAAUUUCAGUUAUCGGCAUUCUUCAUGCAGAAAUAUUGUUGAGUGCACUUAUACACCGUGAAAGGCUCAGUUUCUAAUUUUGGAAGAUAUGCAUUAAUGUCGCUUUAACAUUCAACAAGAAAUAGUUCUUGCAAUUAUCGCAAUCCAUAAUUAUAUAUGGGAGAAGAUGAGAAUGAAAGCUUUGUCUUUCCCCAUUUAGAGUGUUUUCUCACAAUUAUGUGGACAAUGCUAUGGACUGAAGUGAUGAUACCCUUGAGUGGAAGUGCGUGAUGCUGUAGCUACAAAUAUUAGUUAAGAAUGAUUUGUAUUUUACUUAAAUUUGUUUAUUUUAUUUGAUUUGAUAUUUUGGAUACUUCAUAUUUUAUAAUGUUUUCAUUGCCUUACCCAUCAUUUUAUUGGAUUAUAUCACGUGUAAUAAAAAAUUUAACAAAUUAAUGAAUUAAAUAUCAAAAUUAUUAUAUUAAACCUAAUAUAUGUUAUAAUUUGUCUCAAAAGUAGAAUUAAUUAAACUCCUUAUCUAAAGGUUGCAUUUUUAUAACUUUAUUUGUUAAAAUAAUGAUUUUUCGUUUAUGGUUUAACAGUUCUGACAGUAUAUAAGUUUCUCUUUUACUAAAUGUAUAACUAUAUAAUUGACAACUUGUAGCACAUUUUUUCCAAACACUUUUAAAGGCAUAUUGGCAAAUAAGCUCUUUGAAGUCAAAAGAGUUAUAAGUCAACAUUUUCAUCAUCUUAGUAGUUACUCUAUUUGAUUCAAAUAGAUCUGAACUUGUUCAUGUAAGGAUGAGCUUUCAUCUCAUAAACUCAUGUUCAUUCAGCUGGAAGUAUUAAGACUUUAAGAUUUGAACCUCUUCCUGCUAAAAAAAAAAGAACAGUGUAAGAGGUGACAAAGUGAUGCCAAAGAAAUGUCUUGAGAGUUUGUUAAUGUUGAAUGCCAUUGUUCUACUCUUUGGUCUGCCACAAAAUCUUUUGAAAUCCUAAAAUUAAUGAUAGGAAGGAUUGAAGUACCAUUGUGCCUAAUGAUGAUAUAUCAUGUUACCAUGCUGGAUUCCUGAAUGGCCUUCUGUCAAAGGCACGCCUAGGCUCAAGGCUCAGCUGAGGGCACCUCGCUUUAUGAAGCACAUGCCUAGGUGCAAAGGCACACCUCACACAAAGCUUUCAACCUCAAUUUAUUGGAUGUAUCAAACAUAAGAACUAUUGGUCAAUCAGAGGAGAUAUUUACUGGAGCUGUUAAGAGAAGUGAGAGGAAACUGGUGUUAUACUAAUUUUCUUGAGGUCAUAGAUUUCAGGGGUGAUCUUAGAGAAACAGGAAGAUGUUGCUUCUUUAUCCUGUUGCCAUUCAUCAUGGGAGUUUGUCUGUAAGAACAAAUUUAAAUGAUGUUUUGGUUUUCUUUUUUCUUGCUGAGUAAGAAUCCAAUUUUGGUUGCUAAUUAUAGAAUGUUGAGUUAAGAUCCUUCUGUUGGAUAAUGAUAUUUUCCAAGAGUUGGGCUGUUUUGGAUUA